CAAUGGUCAUUGAUGAUGCAUUGGUACACUUAUUUAUUCCAGGAAUGAAGGCUUCAUCUGAAGAUCUCAAGCCAUAUUAUUGGUGUGGUUUGCUGAUAAAAGAUAAAAAGAAAAAAAAUGUUGACAGUGGAAAGAAGAUUCCCAUAAGGUCUCAGACUCCAGGACUGGACAAUUCUUAACAAGAAAUAAACAGAUGAAGACACAGAAGGGGACCAUGAGACCCUAUGUUGUAUUUUAAAUAGUUCAUUUGUUGUCAAUUUCUAUUCUGACAUGUAAUGUUAAAAAGGGGAGAAAAAGCCCCCACCCAUUUAUCUGAAUUAGCUAGACUACUCACUAUACCAAUGAUAGGCUACACAUUUGAGUAACUGCAAAAUUGUUUUCCCAAUGUGUCCUUCUAUUAAAUGACAUGUUCUUUUUACUAUG